AGCCAAUCGAAUUGCAGUAUUUCUUAAAAUUUCGAUUGUAUCUUAGUUUAAGUUUACGUGAAUAAGGGCCCAGAUGAAUACUGAUGAUCAAAUAUGAUUUUUAUGAAUGAAAAGAGUUAUCCUAAAUACUAGUGCUAACGUACAUGUAAAUAUCUGAAUAUACAAAUUUGCAUAGUUUUUCCAAUUCUAUACAAACCAUUUUCUUUUUUUAUUUAUUUCUUAUCCGGUGUCAUUUAAAUGUAUAACCAAUAGAAUAUUUUAAUAAUGACUUAAAAUAUUCAGAUGGUAAAAUCUGAAUUUGAUGUGACCACUAUUUAAUGUCCCAUUUAGUCUUUGCAUGUAAUAUUAAUAAUAAUAUUUCCAUUCAGGGGUGGAUCCAGACAGCGGGGGGGGGAGGGGGGAGUCCAAACCCCACCCUGCUCAGCCACAUAAAAAAUUUUGUAAAACAAUGGUUGUGUGCUUUAUCCUUUAUCAUCAGAUGGCGGGAUGGGGUUGGUAUUCAAAGCGCGAAAUAAUGAUAAAGACAAGACAUGUGUGAUAUCACAAUUAAUGCUUAGCAUCAAUAAAAUUGAAUCACAAUGGAUUUCUCUCUUUAAAAGCUCAAUGUGUAUGUAUGUCUACGUAAUUCAGAGACGAUGAUGGCAUCAUGCAUUGUCUACUGUCAAAUUUCCUUAAAAGAAGCCUGGCGGCCCCCCACCUGUAAUAAUUCCUGGAUCCGCCCCUUCCAUUAUAAAGUGUUAGAUGCUCAAAACCUGCUCAUAGUGGCUCAAUAGGCCAUGGGAGUCUAAAAUCAAAAGUUGUAGGCAUCUAAAUGACAGCAUUCUGAUCAAAAUACAGAUCUAUAUUUUUUUAUACUUUCGAUGGCCUACACUACAUGAAGAUCUGACCAGUUGUUUUGGGAGGUCACGUUAGAGGUCAUACGAGUGGCUUUUGACCCUAUGAUGUCGGACAUUUGAUUAACCAACCAGCAUUGAUGUUUCUAGUGGAUUACCCACAGUUCCGUGCACCUCGCGCCAAAAGCUUACCAUAACAGACCAUUUCAUUGGCUAAUCCCUCACAUCAUCCAGAACACGUCAAUGCUAACAACUCUUCCAGAUCCUAGUGUAGUAAAGACAAGUUAAACAAAAUUUUGAACUAUAAAAAAACAAAACGAAAUAGGAUCUGUGUUUUAAUCAGAUUGAAAUGACAGUUACAUAUAGAAUACCGGUGUUUGAAUUAUUUUAAGUCUGAAAUGAAAUUAUACUAAUUGUACUAAUUGUUUUAAUUAUAAUGUGUGUAUAUGAGACUAUAUAUUUAUUUGUUAUUUAGUUUGAAUGAUUUAUUUAAUGAUAUAAAAUAUACUACUGUCUGAGCCAUGGUAAAAAAAUAUAGUGUUUACGUCCCAAGUGAAAUGGGGUUUAACGUGCUACUGUUCUACACUGACUGAGCUAAUGAAGAAAGGCAAACAUCAUACAGUGUGCUAUGAGGGAAUUUUGUCCGGACAGCGACGUUACCACAUACUUAUAUCAAAUUCCAACUGCUAAGGGAUCUUUUGCAUGCACGUCAAUGUGCACACAGGAAUUCCAACUGCCAAGGGAUCUCUUGUGUACACAGGACCAGUUUUUCGUCCCAUCCGAACGACUAUAUGUCAUCCCUUACCAGGUCCUUUGUUCAGCACUGGGGAUCAUGUGGCUAAGUGGGUAAGACGCUGGCUCGCUAGCCUGGAGGUCGGGUGUUCGAUCCCUGCAUUGGCUGAGAAAGUUCAUCCAGAUUUUCCGGCGUGGUUCUCCCUUGUCAGUGAUGCAGGACGGAGGGGCUGACAAGGAAAGCUGUCUAGUCUUUCGGAUGGGACGGAAAACCGAGGUCCCGUGUACACAUUAGUGUGCACGUAAAAGAUCCCUUGGCAGUUGGAAUUCGAUAUAAGAGUAGGCCGUAGUGCCGCUGCCCGGGCAAAAUUUCCCUCAUAGCACACUGUAUGGCGUAUGCCCGUCUUCAUUAGCCCAGGUUAGGAGCAGAACAGUAGGACGUUAAACCCCAUUUCAUUUCAUUUCAUUUGUUGAGCACUACUGACAAGGGGGGACCACGCUGGAAAAUCCUGAUGAACUUUCUCAGCCAACACUGAGAUCGAACACGGGACCUCCAGAUUAGGGAGCCAACAUCUUACUCACUGCGACUGGCGUAGUUUCGAAUCCCCGGUUGUACGUGGCAAGGAGUAGGGUCGCCUGUCCAACCUCGUGGGUUUUCUCCGGGUCCUCCGGUUUCCUCCCACUGCUAAAGACCCCUAGGCGCAAGCGAAUUGUGUAAAUAAAAUUAAAACCAUAUGUUAGUCCCGAAAUGACCUAGUUUGUGUCGAGUGGACGUUAAACCCCAUUUCUCUCUCUCUCUUACUCACUGAGCCACCAUGGCUCUCAUGUCCCAUAUGAACAAUUUAUUUAAAGAUACAUUAAGGGAGAUUAGAUAAAGAGCUGGCGGGGAUGUCGUGGCUAAGUGUGUAAGACUCUGACUCGCUAGCCUGGAGGUCGGGUGUUCGAUCCCUGCACUGGCCGAGAAAGUUCAUCCAUAUUUUCCCGCGUGGUUUCCCCCUUGUCAGUGAUGCAGGACGACGGAGGGCCUGAACAAGGAUGGCUGUCUAGUCCUUCGGAUGAUAUGAAAAACCGAGGUCCCAUGUAUGCAUUGGAAUGCACGUAAAAGAUCCCUUGGCAGUUGGAAUUCGAUAUAAGAGUAGGCGAUAGUGCCGCUGCUCGAGCAAAAUUUCCCUCAUAGCACACUGUAUGGCGUAUGCCCGUUUUCAUUAGCCCAGCAUAGGAGCAGAACAGUAGGACGUUAAACCCCAUUUCAUUUCAUUUUCAAAGAGCUGGCAGUUCUCUCUAUAAUAGUUAAAAACUACAUAAUGUAAAAGGAAUUUGCUGACAAUUUCAGUCAAAUUGAUACACUCAAUUUUAGCGAUUAAAUUUUCAGCCUAGCCUUGAUUAUCAUUACUUAAGUCGGUACGAUAAAAAACAGUCUCGAUUAUCCAUUUAAUGAUUAAAUCAUGAAUGAAAGUUUACCAGUAAAUCGAAUCAUAAUCCACUAAAUAUCGCAGGCUAGCGAUGACAUCGAGAAUUGAUUAUGGUCUGGAUAAGUUAAUUAAUGUCUAAUUAAUAAUUUAGAUAACAUUUCAGGCCUAAAAAAAGACCUGCAAUAGACAGAUUCAGCUCUUGCAUAAUGUAUGUUUAAUGGAGCUGUCCAAGUUUUAUUUGGGAGAAUAAAACUGCUUAAUUUUGUUUGAAAGUGCUUUACAAACCUUUAUCUUAGUCCCCAAGAAACUACAUGUACCUCAAAUUAUGUAAUAAAUUUUUAUAAACUAAAAAAACGUCAGCUUAACUCUGGGUUUGAAGAUUGGCGUCCUGGCUACAUCAUACAAUGUGUCCGGACUCCGGAUAAAACAAGACUAUGCAUGAGCAGACAUACCGCAUACAAACAAUCACACUGAUCAGCAGUGAAUUUUCACUUGGCCGCUAAUGAGACGUCACGUGUUGAAAGUAAUCAUCUUUUACAGAGAUAUUAGAAGACUUUCGUAAUCCUCUGUGAAACAGAUUGACAAACAAUAACAAAAGACAGGACACAAAGGUACACCUCAGAUCAAGGGAAUGGAUACAGGACAAAAUAUUUUUAUUGUUUUACUAUGGUUCAGACAGUAAUUAGUGUUAAUUUUUACUAUAAUAGCAGGUUGAUGUAGAUUUGUUGUCUGAUAAUACAGAUCUAUUUUUCGUUUCGUUUUUUUUUUAUACAUUCGAUGUCCUACACUACAUGAAGAUCUGACCGGUUGUAUUGGGAGGUCGCGUCAGGGGUCAUAUGAGUGACUUUUGACCCUAUGACUUCAGACAUUGAUUAAUCAAUCAGCGUUGACGUUUUCAGGGGUUUACCCACAGUUCCGUGCAGAGCACACUAAGAACUCGCCAUAACAGAUCGUUUCAUUGGCUAAUCCCGCACAUCAACUAGAACACCUGUUAUAUAACAACUCUUCCAGAUCCUAGUGUAGUAAUGAGAAGUAAAACGAAAUUUUGAACUAUAAGAAAUUAAACGAAAUAGAAUCUGUGUUUUAAUCAGAAUCAAAGUUAAUUAACCCUACAUGUAUUUCCGGAAGCUGACAACGACUUCCAUUGAACUAGUACUGUGUCAGUUAACCUAAAAUGAUGAGAAAAUUUUAAAGUAGCAUCCCUGGUAAAGAAGGAAAUUAUAUUUUUGAAAUAGCUCCAGGGAUGCCAUUUAAAAAUUUUCUUAUCAGACAUUUUAUUUGGGGUUAACAGACACACGUGGAGAGAGAGAGAUGGGGUUUAAAGUCCACUCGACAUAAACUAGGUGAUUUCGGGAAUAACAUAUGGUUCAAUUUUAUUUCAAUAAUUCGCUUGCGCGUAGGGGUCUUAGCAGUGGGAGGACCCAGAGAAAACCCACGAGAUUGGACACGCGACCCUACUCCUCGUCACAACCAGGUAAUCGAAACCAUCCCAGUCGACUCAAUAACAGACCGUAUGAUACAGCGCGCACGUGCUAACCAUUCGGCCAUACACCCCCCCAACGCACGUAGAGCACUAUUGAUGCAUUAGCUUUCUGGUGAUCGAACAUCUCAGAUUCAUCAGGGUUUUUUUCUUGCAAUUGAUGGACAUUGCAUCAAGUUCUUGUAUUGAUCUUUUAGAGGAAUUUAGUAACUGGAUUGAGCAAUGAACUAUAACACAUACAUGGAAGAACAUUUACUGAUUUAUUUAGGCGACGUUUCAAGAAAGUAGGGAGAAUACUCUUCUAAAAGUCGGCCAAAUAAAUCAAUAAUUGUUCUUCUGUAAGUAUGUGUUACAGUUUAUUAUUUGUAUUGUCUUUAGAAAUUACUAUAUUUAAACAAACAAAUAGACAUACUUAUGUAUUGUUAAAUGGUCGAGAGCGAGACAUUGCGUAAUAUAUUGUAACAACAAGAGGGCCAUGCGCCCCGAGUGUUUUUACAAUAUAUUACGCAAUGUCUUAAGCUCGAGACCAUUAAACGACUUAAAAUACAAACACAUGCUUUCACAGUGAAAUACGUCAUGCGAGUCCAAUAUUUCACUACUAUAAAUAAUAUACAAUUGGCAAGUUGCCCAUACGAUUAUUUGAAAUAAUGGUACUCCAACAUCAAAGGGUGAUGUCACAUCUGUAUUUUAAAGUCAUUGAUUGUCAUUGUAUAUUACACGGCUUACUCAAAGAUUUUUUAGUCUGCUUUAAAAUGUACUCAAAUUAAUUACUCUAUAAUUAUUAGAGAAAACAGCUAUCAACUGUAACUAAUCUCCUAGUUUGGAUUUAAUUGAAAUGAAAAAGGACAAUAAAGAUUUUACACAACACUUA